AACGAACGCUGGCGGCAUGCCUAACACAUGCAAGUCGAACGAACUCUUCGGAGUUAGUGGCGCACGGGUGCGUAACGCGUGGGAAUCUGCCCUUGGGUACGGAAUAACUCAGAGAAAUUUGUGCUAAUACCGUAUAAUGACUUCGGUCCAAAGAUUUAUCGCCCAAGGAUGAGCCCGCGUAAGAUUAGCUUGUUGGUGAGGUAAAAGCUCACCAAGGCGACGAUCUUUAGCUGGUCUGAG
rnacentral:rRNA from 1 species